rnacentral:pre_miRNA from 1 species
CCUGUACUCCCUCCGUUCGAAAUUACUUGUCUCGGAAAUGGAUAUAUCUAGAACUAAAAUACAUCUAGAUACAUCCAUUUCUACGACAAGUAAUUCCGAACGGAGGGAGUACAAG